rnacentral:rRNA from 1 species
CUGCUCAGAUUGAACGCUGGCGGCAUGCCUUACACAUGCAAGCCGAACGGUAACGGGUUAAGCCGACGAGUGGCGAACGGGUGAGUAAUAUAUCGGAACGUGCCCAGUCGUGGGGGAUAACGUAGAGAAAUUUACGCUAAUACCGCAUACGAUCUAAGGAUGAAAGCGGGGGAUCGCAAGACCUCGCGCGAUUGGAGCGGCUGAUAUCAGAUUAGGUUGUUGGUGAGGUAAAAGCUCACCAAGCCGACGAUCUGUAGCUGGUUUGAGAGAACGACCAGCCACACUGGGACUGAGACACGGCCCAGACUCCUACGGGAGGCAGCAGUGGGGAAUUUUGGACAAUGGGCGAAAGCCUGAUCCAGCAAUGCCGCGUGCAGGAAGAAGGCCUUCGGGUUGUAAACUGCUUUUGUACGGAACGAAACGGUCUGCCCUAAUACGGUGGGCUAAUGACGGACCGAAGAAUAAGC